UACAUGUGGGGCAAGCGUUGUUCGGAAUUACUGGGCAUAAAGGGUGCGUAGGUGGCUUGUUAGGUCAGGGGUGAAAGUUUUCGGCCCAACCGGAAAAUGGCCUUUGAUACUGGCGAGCUUGAGUGCGUGAGGGGGUAACCGGAACGAGCAGUGUAGCGGUGAAAAUGCGUAGAUAUUGCUCGGAAGGCCAACGGCGAAGGCAGGUUACUGGUGCGCAAACUGACACUGAGGCACGAAAAGCGUGGGGGAGCAAACAGGG
rnacentral:rRNA from 1 species